rnacentral:lncRNA from 1 species
CUACCUAGAGAAAUCACGUCUUUUAUGAGAGAAUAAUCUCUGAUUCACAUCAUUGCUGUAGAAGUUUUUUGUUUCUGGAAGUACGGGGGGAUGAUCCGGUAAAGCAAGUUAGACAAAUGAUUCAGUCUCCACAGCCCCAUUUACCUACCACUCAGUAACGCCACACAUCCCUCCUGAAGCAGUUGAUCAGCUUCUCUGGAAACCACAAUGAAUCUGCUCACCAGUUCAGACAAUGCACCCUUUUGUUUCCCCUGAUUCAGACAGCAACAGGAAGACAGGAAAGCAGGUUGCCACAUGGGACUUGGAAGAACUGACUGUCUUGUUAGGGUGCGGCUGGAUAUCAGACCUCAGGUUGCUCUCUGAGAUAAAACAGUCUUACCUGCUCAUCACACAUUGCAUGGUUGACCUCUUACCAUGA